rfam:Ancylostoma ceylanicum strain HY135 Acey_s0008_scaf, whole genome shotgun sequence.
CCAAAGGCCCUCUUUAGGGCCACCACUCUCCUUCGAAUACCUUGAA